rnacentral:rRNA from 1 species
GUAGUCCACGCCGUAAACUAUGGAUGCUAGCUGUUAGCCGUAUCGACCCGGCUAGUAGCGAAGCUAACGCGUUAAGCAUCCCGCCUGUGGAGUACGGUCGCAAGACUAAAACAUAAAGGAAUUGACGGGGACCCGCACAAGCGGUGGAGCGUGUUGUUUAAUUCGACGAUAAGCGAAGAACCUUACCCAGGUUUGACAUCCUGCGAAUUUCUGCGAAAGCAGAGAGUGCCUUCGGGAAUGCAGUGACAGGUGAUGCAUGGCCGUCGUCAGCUCGUGUCGUGAGAUGUUUGGUUAAGUCCAUCAACGAGCGCAACCCUUAUACUUAGUUGAAUUUUUCUAGGUAGACUGCCCUGGUAACAGGGA